rnacentral:rRNA from 1 species
CACACCGCCCGUCACACCAUGAAAGUUGUGCCUACCAGAAGUCGCUGCGCUAACCGUAAGGAGGCAGGCGCCCAAGGUAGGAACGAUGAGUUGGGGUG